rfam:Triticum aestivum genome assembly, contig: Triticum_aestivum_CS42_TGACv1_scaffold_473054_6AL
UUAGCACUACCUUCGUCCGGAAAUACUUGUCAUCCAAAUGCAUAAAAGGAGAUUUAUCUAAAGAUAUUUUAGUUUCAGAUACAUCACUUUUUAUCCAUUUUGAUGACAAGUAUUUUCGGACGGAGGGAGUACGUA